GGGCGCAUAGCUCAGCUGGUAGAGCAGGAGACUUUUAAUCUUCUGGCCGCAGGUUCGAACCCUGCUGCGCCCA
rnacentral:tRNA from 1 species